rnacentral:rRNA from 1 species
UACGUAGGGGGCGAGCGUUGUCCGGAUUCAUUGGGCGUAAAGCGCGCGUAGGCGGCUUCGUAAGUCGGCCGUGAAAUCUCCAGGCUUAACUUGGAGGGGUCGGGCGAGACUGCGGAGCUCGAGGUGGGCAGAGGGCAGUGGAAUUCCGGGUGUAGUGGUGGAAUGCGUAGAGAUCCGGAGGAACACCAGUGGCGAAGGCGGCUGCCUGGGCCUGGCCUGACGCUGAGGCGCGAAAGCGUGGGGAGCGAUC